UGACCCACACACGAAUUGGCUCUCAUUCACAGACCCGCUUCCGGUUGUCGCUACUGUUAGUUAUUAUCAUGUAAUAAAAUGUUUACUUCGUGACUUCGACAUUUCACUGGGGCUUUCGACAAGCAAACUUUGGCACACUCAACGCUUGCAUGUCAAUUCCGCGGAGGUCACUUAACUCCGGCGACUCACCACCGGUAAGGCCUCUCCACUUACCGACAGAGCAUCGCUUUUCUAUCCGCCGUGGGGCGGGUCAAGCUAGGCUACGGAGACAGCAUGAGCCCGGUCCCUCCCUAACUAAGCCGGUGGGUGAUAAACGGCACAAAAAGGAAUGAAUAAUACCGACGGGGAAGCGUCAAGCUUGGAUGUUACUACGCCUGAAGUCUUGUCGUCAUAAUGAACGGCACUGUGCAAAGUGACGCCAAGCGACAGAACCUCUUGGAAAGGUUACUUGAUGCUGUCAAACAGUGCCAAAUCCGCUUUGGAGGCAGAAAGGAGAUUGCAACGGACUCGGACAGCAGGGUCAUCUGUCUUUGCGCCCAGUUUGAGGCGGUGCUGCAGCACGGCUUGAGAAAGAGCCGAGGUCUCGCCCUCACCGCCGCCGCCCUCAAGCAGGCUGCAGGCUUCAGCAGCAAGGCUGAAGCAGAGUUCACCUUCUGGUUUUACGUGAAGGAGCAUCUCAACCGGCACGAGCUACAACGCUUCUAUACCCUCCGUCACAUCUCGACCGAGCUGGGCCGGGGUCGGGCCUGGAUGCGCUGUGCUCUUAAUGAGCAUUCAUUGGAACGCUACCUGCACACACUACUCGCUGACCGACUGCGCCUCGGCACUUACUAUGAAGACUGGGCCUUCAUACUUGAUGAAGAGAGAGCCAGUAUGUUGCCUACGAUGGCUGCAGGUUUGAACUCCAUCCUCUUCGCCAUCAACAUAGACAACAACGACCUGAACGGUGGGCCGACAAAAGGCGGCGGCUCCACCAUGACGCACCUCCUCAAAGAGUCUACGCAGGGCAUCGGCAGCCUGUGGAAGGAGUCCACGCAGGGGGUCAGCAGCCUCCUCCGAGAGAUCAGCACUGCCACCUCUGUGGUGCCAGGCUUCAGCCCCAGAGUGGACGGAACCUCGGACCCUCUACCCGUCCUGCCGCGCAGCACCUCUGCUGAUUCUGGGCUAAGGAAGGAGCGGCGGAGGAAAAAGAAAAUCACCAACAUCAUUUCCUUUGACGACGAUCUGGAGGCAGGGUAUGAGGAGGAGGGCGACAACGAUUUCCCCAAGAUUGGCGGAAUUAGCAAAGUUCAGGCCGAUCCCGUUCAAAGCAGCGUGGAGGAAGGCAUCGAUCUCCUGGAGCCGUCGUUCCAAGAGUCACCCUCUCACAACGGGCUGGAUGACAUCGCUACACUGACUUGGGUGGGCUCGCCCCAUCACUCUCGUACGCCACCCUUGCCUACGCCUCCUUUGCCAGACCGAAAGAGCAUCGAUAAUGAGGAGGAAGAUGAAGACGAGGAGGAUGAGGAGGAAAAAUACAAGGGCAGAGCUCAAAUCCAGGAGGAUCAGAGAAGCAGUGACCAGAUGGUGGUUGGAAGUCUGUCCAGCGUGUCCCCGUGGAGCCCAGUGCAGGUACUGAUGGACCGCAGCAGCUCGGACAUCCUCAUCCCCCUCAGUCCCACCACCCCACAGCCAGUCAACUCCGUGGAGGACGCGGCAGCCUUUCCCCCUCAGUGCGCGUCAUCGGGUCCAGUGGAAGACUGCGUUAUCCGCGAAUCGCAGCCGCCACUGAAUACAGAGUCCAGUCCACUGGUGCUGUCGGUUCCGCUCAGUGCUACACUGCCAACAUCUGCUCUGCCAGAGUCCAUGACAGUUGCGGAGCUGCGGCAGGCCAUUGUAGCCAUGAUGAACAGGAAGGAUGAGCUGGAGGAACAAAAUGGGUCUCUUCGUAGUUUGCUGGAUGGGGAAAUGGAGCAUUCAGCGGGUCUGAGGCAGGAGAUUGAGCUGCUGAAGAAAAGGCUGGCUGAGCUGGAAGAGAGACACGCGGCUAAGGUCCAGGCUCUGGCCAGGGAAAAUGAGGUCCUGAAGGUCCAGUUAAAGAAGUAUGUGGGGGCGGUGCAGAUGCUGAAGAGAGAGGGGAGCCAGGGCAAUGACGCUCUGCCGGUAUUGCCGUCGAGCGAAGCGCUCGCCCCUGCCCCUCCGAGUAAAUGCAUGGGCGACAUUGAAGAGUUGGCAGCCAGCUACGAACGUAAACUCAUAGAGGUGGCCGAGAUGCACGGCGAGUUGAUCGAGUUUAAUGAGCGCCUAUAUCGCACCCUCAUGGCCAAGGACCACCUCAUCGGGCAGAUGAGACAGGAACUUAUUGAGUUGAGAGGACCGGUCCCAGGCGAUUUGAGUCAGACGUCAGAUGAUCCCAGCCUCUCCGAUUUUGAAACGGCGCAUCGUGCUCUCAUCAACGUGUGGAUCCCUUCCGUGUUCCUGCAGGGCAGAGCUGCUAACGCCUACCACGUCUAUCAGGUCUACAUCCGCAUUCUGGACAAUGAGUGGAAUGUAUAUAGACGCUACACCGAGUUUAGGGAGCUGCACAACCGUCUGAGGUCCCAAUUUCCACAAGUGGACACGUUCAACUUCCCGCCAAAGAAAGCCAUCGGGAACAAGGACGCCAAGUUUGUGGAGGAGAGGCGGAAGCAGCUGCAGUGUUACCUUCGUAUGGUCAUGAACAAAGUGAUCCAGACGCUGCCAGACUUCACCACCCAUCCCACGAAGGAGACCCUGCUGUCACUGCUGCCUUUUUGUCUAGACAACACUUUGUAAGCCGAUUCACAAUUUGUUCAGCGGAGAUGCAAGUAAAAUAUCAUCACAAAUGACUUCCAGUAUUCCUUCAAGUGGAAAGAAGAAGUUCCUGACUUGAGACUCGCCAUUUAUGAGCCAAAUGAGGCUAACGUUGAAACCGUCAAAUUUGAAUUCCUUCCAUCAAGACAUUCAAAAGCCUGGCCCUGUGAGUCGGAUCUGUAACUGAGGCUCUCGCUUCCGCUCUGACACUCUGCAAUCUGAUGUGAAGCUGUGAAGGCUCCACUGACAGCGGGGGGCACAAAGCUCUUUGACGCUGAAAGGGAAGCGCUGCCGGAUUUUGAGCCUUUGAGGAUUCAAACCGAUACUGCUGAGACAAAGUCCGCCAGCCAGUCGGUCCAGCUGGGGAUAUAAAACCCAAAACAAAACAGCCAUUGUAAGAGUCCCCAACAUUACAAAUACCUCUAGCCAUUGCCCGAUUCAUUAAUAUUGUGUGUCUCCCUCUUAUUGUGAACAAGAAAUGACCUCCCAGCAACGAGUUGCCAGAUCCGUCGAUGUCAGUAAUACGGUAAUCAUGUCAUAAACUCUAAUCAAUACAUGCGCUAAGAAUAGAUUUCCCGGCAAAUCCACUCGGUGCAGCACAUUUAACCUUCGCACUUGUCUUGCCAUUGCAAUUACCACCCAUCUAUUAUCCUCUCCCCUUCUUUGUAUUCAGUCUAUGCAUCAUCUGAUAAAUCAUUUCAAACAAGAAUAACAUGUCUAUAGCCAGGAAAUCCAUAUGGAAUUCCUAUCCAAGCCAACUUCCCCUCUGACACCUGGAACCAAUCACGCUUGCCCGUCCGUCUCGGAUCGGUCUUUUCCCGAGCUAAGAGGUUAAUAACGGUCCACGUGAUUACCCACGAGCUGGAGGAUUAGAGUGUAGUUUCCACACUGCAAAUAGUAAUGGCCGUUUCACAGCAGCGUCCACUCAGGUGAUAGGUCACCCCACUAUCUCAUCUCUCCCACUGUGAGGACAGAAAAAGAUUCCCACUCGCAAACUGCUUUUUGGUCUUUUCAUGCCAACAAUAUUAAAUCAUAGCAACUUAUGUAUUUAUUUUUCCACUCUUCGAUGUAGUGAUGCAAAUUAUUUUCUCUCGCCGCCAGCUCAUAUAACAUGAAAGGCUCCGAGGAAACAUAACCAUCAACAUAAUGAACAAUAAUCACAUGACUAAACGGAAGUCGUCAGUUUGAUCUUGGAUGCUUAAACACAAUGAGGCGUCGGUUGGCGUAGUAGCCCACGGGAUUCCUGCAUAACUCCCAGCCGACACACCAUCUCACGUUCCUUCCUCUCCAACCCACACACACACUCACUUUUCAAAUUACAUCAUGUGGACAUGAUGCAGAAUCUGCUGAUGCAGAAUCUGCUCCAUCCAAAAACUAUCCAGAACAUUCGGGGGGGUAACAAAGCCUCAUACGACAGCCACCGGAAACUUACGAAGGUU